rnacentral:rRNA from 1 species
UACAGAGGGGGCAAGCGUUGUUCGGAAUUACUGGGCGUAAAGGGCGCGUAGGCGGCCUUCUAAGUCGAACGUGAAAUCCCUCGGCUCAACCGAGGAACUGCGCCCAAUACUACCGUGCUUGAGGGAGAUAGAGGUGAGCGGAACUUAGGGUGGAGCGGUGAAAUGCGUUGAUAUCCUAAGGAACACCGGUGGCGAAAGUGGCUCACUGGAUCUCUUCUGACGCCGAGGCACGAAAGCUAGGGUAGCGAACGGG